UGGGGAAUCUUGGACAAUGGGGGCAACCCUGAUCCAGCCAUGCCGCGUGAGUGAUGAAGGCCUUAGGGUCGUAAAGCUCUUUCGCCUGUGAAGAUAAUGACGGUAGCAGGUAAAGAAACCCCGGCUAACUCCGUGCCAGCAGCCGCGGUAAUACGGAGGGGGUUAGCGUUGUUCGGAAUUACUGGGCGUAAAGCGCACGUAGGCGGACCAGAAAGUUGGGGGUGAAAUCCCGGGGGCUCAACCCCGGAACUGCCUCCAAAACUAUUGGUCUAGAGUUCGAGAGAGGUGAGUGGAAUUCCAAGUGUAGAGGUGAAAUUCGUAGAUAUUUGGAGGAACACCAGUGGCGAAGGCGGCUCACUGGCUCGAUACUGACGCUGAGGUGCGAAAGUGUGGGGAGCAAACAGGAUUAGAUACCCUGGUAGUCCACACCGUAAAACGAUGAAUGUUAGCCGUCGGGCAGUAUACUGUUCGGUGGCGCAGCUAACGCAUU
rnacentral:rRNA from 1 species